rnacentral:rRNA from 1 species
GGUGGCGUGCCUAAUACAUGCAAGUCGAGCGGACAGAUGGGAGCUUGCUCCCUGAUGUUAGCGGCGGACGGGUGAGUAACACGUGGGUAACCUGCCUGUAAGACUGGGAUAACUCCGGGAAACCGGGGCUAAUACCGGAUGGUUGUUUGAACCGCAUGGUUCAAACAUAAAAGGUGGCUUCGGCUACCACUUACAGAUGGACCCGCGGCGCAUUAGCUAGUUGGUGAGGUAACGGCUCACCAAGGCGACGAUGCGUAGCCGACCUGAGAGGGUGAUCGGCCACACUGGGACUGAGACACGGCCCAGACUCCUACGGGAGGCAGCAGUAGGGAAUCUUCCGCAAUGGACGAAAGUCUGACGGAGCAACGCCGCGUGAGUGAUGAAGGUUUUCGGAUCGUAAAGCUCUGUUGUUAGGGAAGAACAAGUACCGUUCGAAUAGGGCGGUACCUUGACGGUACCUAACCAGAAAGCCACGGCUAACUACGUGCCAGCAGCCGCGGUAAUACGUAGGUGGCAAGCGUUGUCCGGAAUUAUUGGGCGUAAAGGGCUCGCAGGCGGUUUCUUAAGUCUGAUGUGAAAGCCCCCGGCUCAACCGGGGAGGGUCAUUGGAAACUGGGGAACUUGAGUGCAGAAGAGGAGAGUGGAAUUCCACGUGUAGCGGUGAAAUGCGUAGAGAUGUGGAGGAACACCAGUGGCGAAGGCGACUCUCUGGUCUGUAACUGACGCUGAGGAGCGAAAGCGUGGGGAGCGAACAGGAUUAGAUACCCUGG